rnacentral:tRNA from 1 species
CCUUCGAUAGCUCAGCUGGUAGAGCGGAGGACUGUAGGACUUAAUGUGUUGUCAUCCUUAGGUCGCUGGUUCGAUUCCGGCUCGAAGGA